rnacentral:rRNA from 1 species
UGGGGAAUAUUGGACAAUGGGCGCAAGCCUGAUCCAGCCAUGCCGCGUGAGUGAAGAAGGCCUUAGGGUUGUAAAACUCUUUCGCCGGGGAAGAUAAUGACGGUACCCGGAGAAGAAGCUCCGGCUAACUUCGUGCCAGCAGCCGCGGUAAUACGAAGGGAGCUAGCGUUGUUCGGAAUUACUGGGCGUAAAGCGCAGGCAGGCGGUCUGUUAAGUCGUUUGUGAAAAUCCGGGGCUCAACCCCGGAAAUGCAUACGAUACUGGCAGGCUGGAGACUGGUAGAGGCUAGCGGAAUUCCUGGUGUAGCGGUGGAAUGCGUAGAUAUCAGGAAGAACACCUGUGGCGAAGGCGGCUAGCUGGGCCAGUUCUGACGCUGAUCCGCGAAAGCGUGGGGAGCAAACAGGAUUAGAUACCCGGGUAGUCCCUGAGCGGGCUGGCAAGGCGCAU